rnacentral:rRNA from 1 species
GAUCCUGGCUCAGAGUGAACGCUGGCGGUAGGCCUAACACAUGCAAGUCGAACGGCAGCACAGUAAGAGCUUGCUCUUAUGGGUGGCGAGUGGCGGACGGGUGAGGAAUACAUCGGAAUCUACCUUUUCGUGGGGGAUAACGUAGGGAAACUUACGCUAAUACCGCAUACGACCUGGUGAAGACAGGACGUCGGCGUCGUCGCGGAGAGAUGAGCGACGUGUCGGAGUUAGUCUAGUUGGUCGGGGUAAGGG